GUGCAGCAGUCGCGAAACCUCCGCAAUACACGAAAGUGUGACGGGGCCAUCCCGAGUGCCGUCCGCUGAGGACGGCUUUUCCCCAGUGUACACAGCUGGGGGAAUAAGGAGAGGGCAAGCCUGGUGUCAGCCGCCGCGGUAAUACCAGCUCUCCGAGUGGUGGGGACGCUUAUUGGGCCUAAAGCAUCCGUAGCCGGCUGGGCAAGUCCUCCGUUAAAUCCAACGAUUCAAUCGUUGGGCUGCGGGGGAUACUGUCCAGCUUGGGGGCGGGAGAGGCCGACGGUAUUCCCGGGGUAGGGGUGAAAUCCUAUAAUCCCGGGAGGACCACCAGUGGCGAAGGCUGUCGGCUAGAACGCGCCCGACGGUGAGGGAUGAAAGCUGGGGGAGCGAACCGGAUUAGAUA
rnacentral:rRNA from 1 species